GAUGAACGCUGGCGGCGUGCCUAAUACAUGCAAGUCGAGCGAACAGACGAGGAGCUUGCUCCUCUGACGUUAGCGGCGGACGGGUGAGUAACACGUGGAUAACCUACCUAUAAGACUGGGAUAACUUCGGGAAACCGGAGCUAAUACCGGAUAACAUGUUGAACCGCAUGGUUCAACAGUGAAAGACGGUUUUGCUGUCACUUAUAGAUGGAUCCGCGCCGCAUUAGCUAGUUGGUAAGGUAACGGCUUACCAAGGCAACGAUGCGUAGCCGACCUGAGAGGGUGAUCGGCCACACUGGAACUGAGACACGGUCCAGACUCCUACUGGAGGCAGCAGUAGGGAAUCUUCCGCAAUGGGCGAAAGCCUGACGGAGCAACGCCGCGUGAGUGAAGAAGGUCUUCGGAUCGUAAAACUCUGUUAUUAGGGAAGAACAAAUGUGUAAGUAACUAUGCACGUCUUGACGGUACCUAAUCAGAAAGCCACGGCUAACUACGUG
rnacentral:rRNA from 1 species